UGGCUGUAGCUAUAUGAAUGCAUUUGAGGAGUUUACUGGCCGGUUGUUGUAAAUCUGCUGACAUACUUCUUACAUUU